rnacentral:pre_miRNA from 1 species
UUUGUACUCCCUCCGUCCCAAAAUUCUUGUCUUAAAUUUGUCUAAAUACGGAUGUAUCUAGUUACAUUUUAGUGUUAGAUACAUCCGUAUCUAGACAAAUCUAAGACAAGAAUUUUGGGACGGAGGGAGUAACUA